UACGUAGGGGGCAAGCGUUAUCCGGAUUUACUGGGUGUAAAGGGAGCGUAGACGGCCAGACAAGCCUGAAGUGUAAAUCCAGCGCUUAACGUUGGAAGUGCUUUGGAAACUGCCGGGCUAGAGUGCAGGAGGGGCAGGCGGAAUUCCUAGUGUAGCGGUGAAAUGCGUAGAUAUUAGGAGGAACACCAGUGGCGAAGGCGGCCUGCUGGACUGCAACUGACGUUGAGGCUCGAAGGCGUGGGGAGCAAACAGG
rnacentral:rRNA from 1 species